rnacentral:lncRNA from 1 species
AUUACAAAGAUAUGAUGUCUGUAUGUAUUAUACAGUUGAUUGUGUAUGACUAGGAUGUCACAACUGCCAGACUAGGGUGUUACAAGGGCAAGACUGGGGUAUUAGAUGAAGACAUUAUAAAUGAAGGUGUGAUAGAUACAAUAGAGCAAUUAUUACAAAGAUAUGAUGUCUGUAUGUCUUGUUUAGUUGAUUGUGUAUGACUAGGAUGUCACAAAUGCCUGACUAGGGUGUUACAAGGGCAUGGUUCGGGUGCUAGAGGAAGACAUUAUCAAUGAAGGUGUGAUAGAUACAAUAAAACAAUUAUUACAAAGAUAUGAUGUCUGUAUGUAUUAUAAAGUUGAAUGUGUAUGCCUAGGAUGUCACAAAUGCCAGACUGGGGUGUUAGAAGGGCAUGACUGGGGUGUUAGAUGAAGACAUUAUCAAUGAAGGUGUGAUAGAUACAAUAGAACAAUUAUUACAAAGAUAUGAUGUUUCUGUAUGUAUUAUAUAGUUG